CCUACGGGUGGCAGCAGUGGGGAAUAUUGCACAAUGGGCACAAGCCUGAUGCAGCCAUGCCGCGUGUGUGAAGAAGGCCUUCGGGUUGUAAAGCACUUUCAGCGGGGAGGAAGGCGGUGAGGUUAAUAACCUCAUCGAUUGACGUUACCCGCAGAAGAAGCACCGGCUAACUCCGUGCCAGCAGCCGCGGUAAUACGGAGGGUGCAAGCGUUAAUCGGAAUUACUGGGCGUAAAGCGCACGCAGGCGGUCUGUCAAGUCGGAUGUGAAAUCCCCGGGCUCAACCUGGGAACUGCAUUCGAAACUGGCAGGCUAGAGUCUUGUAGAGGGGGGUAGAAUUCCAGGUGUAGCGGUGAAAUGCGUAGAAAUCUGGAGGAAUACCGGUGGCGAAGGCGGCCCCCUGGACAAAGACUGACGCUCAGGUGCGAAAGCGUGGGGAGCAAACAGGAUUAGAUACCCUAGUAGUC
rnacentral:rRNA from 1 species